GCAGGGCAGCCCCGGGGAGCGAGGCGCGGACGGCUUUCCCGGGUCGCCGGGCCCGAAGGGCACUCCAGGAGAACCCGGGAUUCAGGGGUUGCCGGGAAUCAUGGGAAUGCCAGGAUUUAAAGGACAUAAGGUCAGUUGCAACUCGCUUGUUUUGCGGACCUGAUGUCACAGAAGCUCCUUGUGUUUUGCGUCCGUUACGUAGUAUUGAAACAGAAAGAGCAUACAAUAUUUAUCUCGAUACUUGCACCUUCCAGCUCUUGUAACAGUAACAAUAUGGGAACAUGCUAAGUUAUUUUACAGUAUAUUAUUAAGUGAAUAAAGAGCAGACAUUUUGAUGAAGACUAUGAAAA
rnacentral:lncRNA from 1 species